CUGUUGGUUAGGGGCUCGUUAGUAAGCAUUUCACUGUAAGGUCUACUACACCUGUUGGUUAGGGGCUCGUUAGUAAGCAUUUCACUGUAAGGUCUACUACACCUGUUGGUUAGGGGCUCGUUAGUAAGCAUUUCACUGUCAGGUCUACUACACCUGUUGGUUAGGGGCUCGUUAGUAAGCAUUUCACUGUAAGGUCUACUACACCUGUUGGUUAGGGGCUCGUUAGUAAGCAUUUCACUGUAAGGUCUACUACACCUGUUGGUUAGGGGCUCGUUAGUAAGCAUUUCACUGUAAGGUCUACUACACCUGUUGGUUAGGGGCUCGUUAGUAAGCAUUUCACUGUAAGGUCUACUACACCUGUUGGUUAGGGGCUCGUUAGUAAGCAUUUCACUGUAAGGUCUACUACACCUGUUGGUUAGGGGCUCGUUAGUAAGCAUUUCACUGUAAGGUCUACUACACCUGUUGGUUAGGGGCUCGUUAGUAAGCAUUUCACUGUAAGGUCUACUACACCUGUUGGUUAGGGGCUCGUUAGUAAGCAUUUCACUGUAAGGUCUACUACACCUGUUGGUUAGGGGCUCGUUAGUAAGCAUUUCACUGUAAGGUCUACUACACCUGUUGGUUAGGGGCUCGUUAGUAAGCAUUUCACUGUAAGGUCUACUACACCUGUUGGUUAGGGGCUCGUUAGUAAGCAUUUCACUGUCAGGUGGAAUGUAUUCGUCGCAUGUGACUGAUACAUUUUGAUUUGAACUUCAGAAUUGCAAAUCAAAUCUAAUUGUAUUGGUCACAUACACACGGUUAGCAGAUAUUAAUGCAAGUAUAGCGAAAUGCUAGUGCUUCUAGUUCUGACAGUGCAGUAAUAUCUAACAAGUAAUAUAACAAUUCCACAUCAACUACCUUAUACAUACGAACCUAAAGGGGUGAAUAAGAAUAUGUACAUGUAAUUGUAACAGUAUAACUUUAGUCCGUCCCCUCGCUCCGACCCGGGGCGUGAACCAGGGACCCUCUGCACACAUCAGCAUCUGACACCCACGGAGCAUCGUUACCCAUCACGCCACUAAAGCCGUGGCC